AACAAACCAAUCUUUUAGUUUUUACCUAAUGUUUGACUCUUCGUCUUAUUUAAAGAAAAUACGAUUGACAUUUCUAUUAGAUGAUAAAUCAUGAAUAGUAUUUUAUGUGUGACUAUUUUUUCCAAUUUUUUUUUAAAAAAUUCAAAUAAGACGGAUGGUCAAAUGUUGUACAUGGAAAG
rnacentral:pre_miRNA from 1 species